UACGUAGGGUGCAAGCGUUAUCCGGAAUUAUUGGGCGUAAAGGAGCUCGUAGGCGGUUUGUCGCGUCUGCUGUGAAAACUGGAGGCUCAACCUCCAGCCUGCAGUGGGUACGGGCAAACUAGAGUGCGGUAGGGGGAGAUUGGAAUUCCUGGUGUAGCGGUGGAAUGCGCAGAUAUCAGGAGGAACACCGAUGGCGAAGGCAGAUCUCUGGGCCGUAACUGACGCUGAGGAGCGAAAGCAUGGGGAGCGAACAGG
rnacentral:rRNA from 1 species